rnacentral:rRNA from 1 species
CCUACGGGAGGCAGCAGUGGGGAAUAUUGGACAAUGGGGGGAACCCUGAUCCAGCGACGCCGCGUGAGUGAAGAAGUAUUUCGGUAUGUAAAGCUCUAUCAGCAGGGAAGAAAGAAAUGACGGUACCUGACUAAGAAGCCCCGGCUAACUACGUGCCAGCAGCCGCGGUAAUACGUAGGGGGCAAGCGUUAUCCGGAUUUACUGGGUGUAAAGGGAGCGUAGACGGUUACGCGAGUCUGGAGUGAAAGGCGGGGGCUCAACCCCCGGACUGCUUUGGAAACUGUAUAACUGGAGUGCAGGAGAGGUAAGUGGAAUUCCUAGUGUAGCGGUGAAAUGCGUAGAUAUUAGGAGGAACACCAGUGGCGAAGGCGGCUUACUGGACUGUAACUGACGUUGAGGCUCGAAAGCGUGGGGAGCAAACAGGAUUAGAUACCCCUGUAGUC